UAGGUUUUGGUUUAGGUUAAGGUUGAGGUUUAGGUUAUAGGUUAAGGUUUUAGGUCAUAGGUUUUGAUUUAGGUUAAGGUUAUAGGUUUAGGUUAAGGUUUUAGGUCAUAGGUUUUGGUUUAAGUUAAGGUUAUAGGUAUAGGUUAAGGUUUUAGGUCAUAGGUUUAGGUUUAGGUUAAGGUUAUAGGUAUGGGUUAAGGUUUAGGUUUAGGUUAAGGUUUAGGUUUA